AGCGAACGCUGGCGGCAGGCCUAACACAUGCAAGUCGAACGGAUCCUUCGGGAUUAGUGGCGGACGGGUGAGUAACACGUGGGAACGUGCCCUUUGGUUCGGAACAACUCAGGGAAACUUGAGCUAAUACCGGAUGUGCCCUUCGGGGGAAAGAUUUAUCGCCAUUGGAGCGGCCCGCGUCUGAUUAGCUAGUUGGUGGGGUAAAGGCCCACCAAGGCGACGAUCAGUAGCUGGUCUGAGAGGAUGAUCAGCCACAUUGGGACUGAGACACGGCCCAAACUCCUACGGGAGGCAGCAGUGGGGAAUCUUGCGCAAUGGGCGAAGGCCUGACGCAGCCAUGCCGCGUGAAUGAUGAAGGUCUUAGGAUUGUAAAAUUCUUUCACCGGGGACGAUAAUGACGGUACCCGGAGAAGAAGCCCCGGCUAACUUCGUGCCAGCAGCCGCGGUAAUACGAAGGGGGCUAGCGUUGCUCGGAAUUACUGGGCGUAAAGGGAGCGUAGGCGGACUGUUAAGUUAGAGGUGAAAGCCCUGGGCUCAACCUUGGAAUUGCCUUUGAUACUGGCAGUCUUGAGUACGGAAGAGGUAUGUGGAACUCCGAGUGUAGAGGUGAAAUUCGUAGAUAUUCGGAAGAACACCAGUGGCGAAGGCGACAUACUGGUCCGUUACUGACGCUGAGGCUCGAAAGCGUGGGGAGCAAACAGGAUUAGAUACCCUGGUAGUCCACGCCGUAAACGAUGAGUGCUAGUUGUCGGCAUGCAUGCAUGUCGGUGACGCAGCUAACGCAUUAAGCACUCCGCCUGGGGAGUACGGUCGCAAGAUUAAAACUCAAAGGAAUUGACGG
rnacentral:rRNA from 1 species